GUGCUGCUGGGAACCAAGAUAAACAGUAAUUAAUAUAAAUGUGAGAAGCCUGAUCAGAAGGCUGAAUGGGGCUUUUUGAUAUUCACAGGGAUGAAUAUCUGCAUUUUAUUACCUACUGCUAAUGACUCCAUGGCAUAAAGCAAACUCCCCAAACCUGAUACUCUUACUGUUUACCAAACAUCACCUUUGGCAUGUCUGUUUGCAUUCCUAAAAGGCAAUUGUGUAUUCUAGUAAAUAAAAGCAGAUGUGAACAGACUCAGUGGAAUUUGGUCCCUUGUACCAAGAUCAUAACUGGCUUCCCCCAUAAUUUCCAAAUUUAUAUUUCUUGUCUUGUAUAAUUAAUUUGUGCGUCAGCCCUUUCUCCAAGUCUUUGAAC